rnacentral:lncRNA from 1 species
GUGAAGCCCUUUUAAAAGAAAUACAGUAAAAAAUGAGUCAACAGGGUACAAGACUAAAGAUGUGGGAGUAAGAAAUGAUGGUUUUAGAAUCAAGAUAUUUAAGGAGACAUGACUUGAUGGGAUUCAGAACUCAUUGUCUUCCUAUGAGAUGCUAAGGAAGAAGAUAUGGGUGUCAAGAUGAUGGGAUGGGUUGGGAAGGGUGAAAGCUUAGUUCAGUAGACUUACUCUUCUAAAUCAAUGGUUAUGGAGUAUGGUUAAAGAAAACAACUUUUUUAUUAUGUACAUUUCCAAUAACAAAAGCAGAGAGAACAUAGUGGAAUGACUCCUCAUGUACCUAUUACCCAUCUUUGGAAUUAUCACAUGACUCAUCUUGUUUUAGUUAUUUACCCUUGUCCCCUCCCCCACUAGUUUAAAGUAAAUCUCACUGGGGUAGGAGCUCUGUUAUUCUUUCCAAUGGUUGAAGAACGCAGAAAGUAAGAGAUGGUUUCAGUAACAGAAAUGGAGACCAGGAAAAUGGAAAGGAAUGAUCAAUAAGAUAAGCUAAUGCCUUAACAGAAUUGAAUUUCCUUUAUCCUUGUUAUAGUUUGGGUCUGAAAUGACCCCCAAAGGCUCAUGUGCUAAAGGUCUGCAUGCAGCAAUGUUCUGAGGUGGGGUUCUCAGGAAGUGAUUGCAUCAUGAGGGUUCUAACUUUAUCAGUGGAUUAAUCCAUUGCUAGAUUGAUUGCUGAGUAGAGGUGGUAGAAACUGUAGGAAGUGGGACCUAGUUGAAGGGAAUGGGACUUUAUCAUGUUCCUAGCCCCUUCCUUUCUUUCUCUUUGAUUCCUGUCCACCAUGAAGCAAGCAGCUGUGGUCUACCACAUGCUUUCCUCCAUGAUGAUCUAUCUGCCUUAUCAUUGAUCCAGAAGCAAUGGAGCCAAGGUGAUCACGAACUGAAACCAUAAGCCCAAAAUCAUUUUUUUCCUUUAAAUUGUUUUUUUUUUUUUCCUUCAGGUAUUUGGUCACAUCAGCAGAAGACUGACCACCACAAUCCUGAAAAUGGAGACUAUAGACAUUCCUUAGCCACUUGUCUUUUAUUCCAAAUUAUCUAGCUAUUCUAAAUUAUGGGACUUUGAAUAUACAAAUAAAAACAAAACAAAAAAAAACCCAUGCUUGUCAUAUGUAAUAUAACUGUUUCACAGUGAUUGGCAUGGACAAUUAUUAUUGUUAAAGUAGGUCAAGUGUUCAAAGGUAAAGUCAUUAAGAUAUGUAUUUACCCUUUUAAGGAUUCCUAAUCUAGUUCCACACUUUUUCUUUUAUUUUACUUACCUAAAUUCAUAUAGUAUAUGUAAACUUCAUUCUAGAUAAUACCAAAUAAUUGACAAUUG